CUCCACACUGUCAUGCUUCACAACUUGAUGAUAAUGGACUAAACCUCUGAACUGACACUCUGCAUUUGAAUACAUGUAUAAAGUCCUUAUGGAUCAAAUUAAAAUGGACUCUGAAUAUCAUUAUGUGUCUUUACAUGAUGGAGGCAGAGGAACAGCACAGUGACAAGUUGGGGAUGAGAUAGAGGAAGAGACAACAUGGAGAUGAGAACAAAGAUCAAGGGGAAAUAGUUUGUGUCCUAAGAAGUUGAAGAAAUGAAGAAAAAUACCAGAGCCCAAGGAGAGA